rnacentral:hammerhead_ribozyme from 1 species
GCACUGUUGACGAGUCCCCAAGAGGACGAAACAACUGUCCAGUGC